rnacentral:rRNA from 1 species
UACGUAGGGAGCAAGCGUUGUCCGGAAUCAUUGGGCGUAAAGCGCGCGUAGGCGGCCCUGUAAGUCCGUUGUGAAAGUCAAAGGCUCAACCUUUGAAAGCCGAUGGAUACUGCAGGGCUAGAGUCCGGAAGAGGCGAGUGGAAUUCCUGGUGUAGCGGUAGAAUGCGCAGAUAUCAGGAGGAACACCAAUAGCGAAGGCAGCUCGCUGGGACGGUACUGACGCUAAGGCGCGAAAGCGUGGGGAGCGAACAGG